rnacentral:lncRNA from 1 species
GCGGAUUAGGGUUUGACCGAGGAAAUGAGUGAUGGAGAGAGAGUGAAGUCUGGCUGUGAGAGAGAGAGAGAGAGAGAGAUCCUAGAAUAUCGUGUGGGUAAGGUGGCCUCUCUGGAAGAAGAAGAGAUUUUUGUUUUUUAUCUUUUUUUUUUUAGAAGUGAGAGAGAGGAGAGAGACUCAAGAGAGACAUUGAGAGUGGCCUUUUUUCUCCUAGGCAUCUGUUGGGUUUUUUAUCAUGUGUGCUUCUUUAGCUUUUGUUUUUUUGGUGAUGUGUCAAAG